rnacentral:rRNA from 1 species
GAGGAAGGCGGGGGGCGUGCUUAACACAUGCAAGUCGAACGGAAAGGCCCUGCUUUUGUGGGGUGCUCGAGUGGCGAACGGGUGAGUAACACGUGAGUAACCUGCCCUUGACUUUGGGAUAACUUCAGGAAACUGGGGCUAAUACCGGAUAGGAGCUCCUGCUGCAUGGUGGGGGUUGGAAAGUUUCGGCGGUUGGGGAUGGACUCGCGGCUUAUCAGCUUGUUGGUGGGGUAGUGGCUUACCAAGGCUUUGACGGGUAGCCGGCCUGAGAGGGUGACCGGCCACAUUGGGACUGAGAUACGGCCCAGACUCCUACGGGAGGCAGCAGUGGGGAAUAUUGCACAAUGGGCGGAAGCCUGAUGCAGCAACGCCGCGUGCGGGAUGACGGCCUUCGGGUUGUAAACCGCUUUCGCCUGUGACGAAGCGUGAGUGACGGUAAUGGGUAAAGAAGCACCGGCUAACUACGUG